AGAAAGUAGAUCAAAUGUUGUUGACUUCUAAUUUAGUUAUAUCAGCACUCCUGGUGGAACAUUAAUUGUGACGCAUAUAUACUCACCAGGAUUGUUGCUUUGAUGCUGUCUGUUCUCAAAGGGAAUCCAAGGUCCCCGUGAUCCUGGAGAUUCAAAAGGACAUCCAGAAGAUCCUCCGCUUUACUCUCUUCACCAGUCUUUGCCACUUCCCUGCAGACUCUAUGUUCAUAUAUAAUGUUUUCUAGCAUCUCAUCUGCGUCCUGAUGCGACCUUUUGAGCCUAGACCUAAACCUACUGAUCUUGUACAACAGCUUAGAGGAAGGGAAUACAUCUGCAAUAUUCGCACCUCCUAUUGCCUCCAUCACAUGCUCAAUAAUCGGUAAGAAUGCUUCUUGGUGCUUGUAUUUCUUACCAACACUUGUU